GCGCAGCAGGCGCGAAACUUCCCCAAUGGACGAAAGUCUGAGGGAGCGACGCCGCGUGAAUGAAGAAGCCCUUCGGAGUGUAAAAUUCUUUUCUUUAGGAAAAAUUCGUGAUGGUACUAAAGGAAUAAGGGGCCGCCAAACUCGUGCCAGCAGCGGCGGUAAUACGAGUGCCCCGAGCGUUAUCCGGAAUUACUGGGCGUAAAGCGCUAAAAGGCGGUUUGAUAAGUCAGACGUCAAAUCUCCGAGCUCAACUCGGAGCCGGUGUCUGAAACUGUCUAACUUGAGGACGGAAGAGGCAAGCGGAAUGGCUGGUGUAGCAGUAAAAUGCGUUAAUAUCAGCUA
rnacentral:rRNA from 1 species